rnacentral:rRNA from 1 species
ACCAACAGGGAUUGCCUCAGUAACGGCGAGUGAAGCGGCAAAAGCUCAAAUUUGAAAUCUGACCUUUGGUCCGAGUUGUAAUUUGUAGAGGAUGUUUCGGGCAAGAUCCGGGCUUAAGUUCCUUGGAACAGGACGUCAUAGAGGGUGAGAAUCCCGUACGUGGUCCAGGGUCGCGCCCAUGUGAAACUCCUUCGACGAGUCGAGUUGUUUGGGAAUGCAGCUCAAAAUGGGUGGUAAAUUUCAUCUAAAGCUAAAUAUUGGCCAGAGACCGAUAGCGCACAAGUAGAGUGAUCGAAAGAUGAAAAGCACUUUGAAAAGAGAGUUAAACAGCAUGUGAAAUUGUUGAAAGGGAAGCGCUUGCGACCAGACUUGUUUGUAGGGUUCAGCCGUCGUUCUCGUCGGUGUAUUUCCCUAUCUACAGGCCAGCAUCAGUUCGGACGGAAGGUUAAAGGCCUUGGGAAUGUAGCAUCUUCCGGGAUGUCUUAUAGCCCUCGGUGUAAUGCUUCCUGCCCGGACUGAGGAACGCGCUUCGGCUCGGAUGCUGGCGUAAUGGUUCUAAGCGACCCGUCUUGAAACACGGACCAAGGAGUCUAACAUCUAUGCGAGUAUUUGGGUGUCAAACCCAUAUGCGUAAUGAAAGUGAACGGAGGUGGGAAUCUUCGGAUGCACCAUCGACCGAUCCUGAUGUCUUCGGAUGGAUUUGAGUAAGAGCAUAGCUGUUGGGACCCGAAAGAUGGUGAACUAUGCCUGAAUAGGGUGAAGCCAGAGGAAACUCUGGUGGAGGCUCGCAGCGGUUCUGACGUGCAAAUCGAUCGUCAAAUUUGGGCAUAGGGGCGAAAGACUAAUCGAACUAUCUGGUAGCUGGUUCCUGCCGA